UUAAGUUGGGCACUCUAGGGAGACUGCCGGUGACAAACCGGAGGAAGGUGGGGAUGACGUCAGGUCAUCAUGGCCCUUACGGCCUGGGCUACACACGUGCUACAAUGGUGCGCACAGAGGGCUGCAAACCCGCGAGGGGGAGCCAAUCUCACAAAACGCAUCGUAGUCCGGAUCGCAGUCUGCAACUCGACUGCGUGAAGUCGGAAUCGCUAGUAAUCGCGAAUCAGAAUGUCGCGGUGAAUACGUUCCCGGGCCUUGUACACACCGCCCGUCACACCAUGGGAGUUGGCUUGACCCGAAGACGGUGCGCUAACCUGCUUGCAGGAGGCAGCCGGCCACGGUCAGGUCAGCGACUGGGGUGAAGUCGUAACAAGGUAGCCGUAGGGGAACCUGCGGCUGGAUCACCUCCUU
rnacentral:rRNA from 1 species